rnacentral:tRNA from 1 species
UAGAGCUCAACAGUAGAGCACUUGCUUAGCAUGCAGGAGGCCCUGGGUUCACUCCCCAGUA